CCCGGGCUCUGCCCACUGAGCCACGCUACUUAAUAAUAACGAGAGAAAGAGACUACAAUGCCCCCGCUUUCUCAGCCACAGAAGCGUCUGAGCGUGGACCCAGUUAGAGACUCACCGGGAUCUGCCAGCGGCAAGAACGAUUUCGGCCAAAGAAAAAUAUGCAAAAAACAAACCUCACAGUCUACUUGAGAUGUGCCCAUUUUAAAAAGAGAGAACGCCGUUAUGGAAUUAAGAAACGUUCUGCCGACAACCUGCAGUUAUCUGGAUGCAGCGGAGGCGUUUUUCAGACAAAACAUUUUUGUAUAUGCGCAUGGCAUCAGAUGUGGUGUGAGAACCACGGUGGGUUUGCAUGCAGGCAGGAUUCUUUAAGUACAUGACUGCGGUAAGGCAGA